CUUCCCAACAACAAUGAGUUUCCGUGUCAACUUUAAUCUUCCGUCUUAUUUGAAUUUUUUUUAUAAUUAAUAGUUUUGUUGUUAUGAGAUGAUAAAACAUAAAUAGUACUUUAUGCAUGACUUAUGUUUUUAAAUUUUUUUAUUUUUUUUUCAAAUAAAACGGACAAUCAAAGUCGAGCACGGAAAAUUAUGGCUGCACUUAAA
rfam:Oryza meridionalis cultivar OR44 (W2112) chromosome 1, whole genome shotgun sequence.